rnacentral:hammerhead_ribozyme from 1 species
CUCCAGCUAUGACGAGUCCCAAAUAGGACGAAAUGCGCAUCCUGGAU